GAGGAGGAGGAAUCAAAGAGCAUCAAGACUACAGCAGAGACCAGGAACCAACCAAAGAAACUCAGCACAAGAACCUCCUCAACCAUGAUGAUGAAAAUUGUUGUCGUCGUUCUCCUGUUAGUUGCUUCAAGCAACGGACAAUCAAGCACAACAACAGCACCAACGACAACCACCAC